rnacentral:rRNA from 1 species
UACGUAGGGGGCAAGCGUUGUCCGGAUUUAUUGAGCGUAAAGAGCGUGUAGGCGGCUUGGUAGGUCCGCUGUGAAAACUCGAGGCUCAACCUCGAGAUGUCGGCGGAAACCACUUGGCUAGAGUCCGGAAGAGGAGAGUGGAAUUCCUGGUGUAGCGGUGAAAUGCGCAGAUAUCAGGAAGAACACCUAUGGCGAAGGCAGCUCUCUGGGACGGUACUGACGCUGAGACGCGAAAGCGUGGGGAGCGAACAGG